ACACAUAAUGCGUGUGAACACGGCCUUUCGAAGAAACGCUCCCCUUGUGCCCCCAGCGUUCCCAUUCCUGUUCCCCACAGAGUCCGAGGAAGGCCGUGUGCCGCUAAACUUAGAGGGGGUCCAUUCGCCUGCCGACAAAUUAGCCGGAAGAUUAGCGAGAGCCAGAGCGAGAACGAUGAACUCACUCUCUAGCGAGAGAGAUCGAUACGAUCGAUACAAGAGCAAGAGAGGGAGAGAUGGGAUUUGUUUAAUGCUGAGAGUUGCAAGAGUAGCAGUGCAUCACAACAGCCACAGCGUCGAUAAAUAAGUACGCGCAAUCAGAGGAGCAUCGUUUUUUUGAUUUUUUUCGCCCAGUUGGGGGAUUUCAGAAUAAACCUAAACCCGGUCGUAUCGCAUUUGCCAUGGUCAUUAGUAACCGGAUUGCGGAAACGAUGCCAUUGCUCAAUUGUGUUCUGUCUUGGUUUCCCAUCGCCGCCGAUGCGAUCAUGAUGGUUAUCUGACUGGGUUGGAUAUUUUGGGCCGUCUUGCUCCAGAGCAGUCGUCAGUGGUCUAUCAAUUGACUUCAGCUGUGUGCAAUGGGAUCGCAACCUCGGUGACGCUGGAGGGGAUCCGUCCUGGUCCGAGCGUGAAGCAGAUGUAUUCACCAGAAAUCACUCGUGUUCAACUCAACCUGGAUUCACAAGCUGUUCUUGGACUUAUCAGCAGAAGAUUUAGCAAUUAUUGCAAGGUUACGAGGUUGGAUAGGUGGGCCACGGGAAGUAGCAAUGAAGAGAUGCUGAAUGCAUUCUCAGUGAAACGCUUCGUGUGCGUGAUGGAGGUUCGACUUGUCGCCGUUUCGCCAUGUCAAGUCUGUCAGUCCUUUUUGUUUUUUUGCUUUCUUCCAUUCGUCCGACUAUUGUGGGAAUGGCUUCCAUGAUGUUGUCGUUUA